AUGCAAGUCGAGCGGGGGAAGGUAGCUUGCUACUGGACCUAGCGGCGGACGGGUGAGUAAUGCUUAGGAAUCUGCCUAUUAGUGGGGGACAACAUCUCGAAAGGGAUGCUAAUACCGCAUACGUCCUACGGGAGAAAGCAGGGGAUCUUCGGACCUUGCGCUAAUAGAUGAGCCUAAGUCGGAUUAGCUAGUUGGUGGGGUAAAGGCCUACCAAGGCGACGAUCUGUAGCGGGUCUGAGAGGAUGAUCCGCCACACUGGGACUGAGACACGGCCCAGACUCCUACGGGAGGCAGCAGUGGGGAAUAUUGGACAAUGGGGGGAACCCUGAUCCAGCCAUGCCGCGUGUGUGAAGAAGGCCUUAUGGUUGUAAAGCACUUUAAGCGAGGAGGAGGCUACUUUAGUUAAUACCUAGAGAUAGUGGACGUUACUCGCAGAAUAAGCACCGGCUAACUCUGUGCC
rnacentral:rRNA from 1 species